rnacentral:lncRNA from 1 species
UUUCUCCUUCAACCACCGCAACAGCCACCUUCCGGCGCGCGUCCGUAGGCAAUCGCGCUUCCUCACUCCUUCCUCUCCCUUCCAGUUCAGACCCCUCGCUCUCCCUUCUCAUCCCUCGCCGCUCAAAGACGAAUCCGAUCCUCAAGGUAGAAACCCUAAACCAGAGCACAAAAUUGCAAUGGAUAAUUUAUUUUUGUCUGAAUGAUUAUUGAAAUUGAUCAUAUGUUAUUCAAUUGGUAGUCAUUAGAAUACCAAACAAAUUACUAAUUGAAAUACAAAGAUGUAUUCUGUUUUAGCUACAUAGAUUUUGCAAUUUGCUUCAUGAAAUGUGUAUCAGUGCUUGAAUUUUUUUUGUUUAAUAGUAAUCUCCUUUGAUGUAGUCAUUGAGUCGCUUCAGUUCUCCACCUUGUUGCUCCAUCACUGCUCUUACAACAUCUACAAUGGAAAUCAUACCAACUAUUUUCCCAUCAAUAACCGGAACAUGCCGGAUGUGAUUCUCUGCAAGAAAAAGAGGCAGUGGUCUUUGAUGUUUGAAUUUUGAUCACUUAAGCAUUGCGAGUUGCGACAAAUGAACAACAGAAGAGUUACCUAUCAUAAGUCUCAUUGCUUGAAGAAUGUUGGUUUCAGAUGUCACUGUUAUCAGAUUGUUCUGUUUACAGGUAACCUCAUCACUCACAAUGAAAAUGCUCAAUUGAGUUGUAUAUAAUGGAAAUGAAAGAGUGUAAAAUCACCUCAUCAGUCAUGAUUUGACCAACUUGUGUGUAUAAAGGAGACCUUCCUUGUGCAAUUAUUUUCUUCAAGCAAUCUGCCAGCUCAAGCAUGUAGCCAACAAAGAGAUUCAAUUUGCGAGAGUGGUUAUACGUGGAUAUCCGGUUUUCAUUGGACAUUCAAUCAACACACGCUUCAGCGGCGGUUGGUGAUAAACCGCCGUUCAAGUGUGUUUUGAUAUUGAUGAAAACCGCAUGUCUCAGUAAGUUUUCAUUUGUUCACUAUUGUUUGCUUUGGUUUACAAGGGUAGCACAAAUUCUAGCUUAACUUGAAGUACAUGAAUUAAUUGGAAACUCAUACCUCGUUCUGUGACAAUGCCUGCUAUAUGCUGACCUUCUGGAUUUAGCACCACCAAUGAUCCAAUAUUAUUUUCUGCCAUCUAAAUCCAUACACCAUGUUUGUUAACAAAUCUUAUGAAACUUAUAAUUAGAGGAAACAUAUGAACAAAUUGAAACUAUCUUACAUUCUUCAUUGCAUUGAUUACAGCAUCAUCAACUCUGCACCAAAGCCAGGAACCAUUUUUGUCUUCCCCUUUUGUCAUCAGCACGUCAGAUACUGUGACAUUCUCCAAUCCUUUCUGCUGCAUUGGUGGAGAGGUUGUGACACAUCCAAAACCUGCAGAUAGCUUGUUCGGG